rnacentral:rRNA from 1 species
UACGAAGGGGGCUAGCGUUGCUCGGAAUCACUGGGCGUAAAGGGUGCGUAGGCGGGUCUUUAAGUCAGGGGUGAAAUCCUGGAGCUCAACUCCAGAACUGCCUUUGAUACUGAGGAUCUUGAGUUCGGGAGAGGUGAGUGGAACUGCGAGUGUAGAGGUGAAAUUCGUAGAUAUUCGCAAGAACACCAGUGGCGAAGGCGGCUCACUGGCCCGGUACUGACGCUGAGGUGCGAAAGCGUGGGGAGCAACAGGG